CACGUGUCUUUGACUUGCUCUACCUGAAAAUACUACUUCUUGCCACUCUUGAACCACAGGAGAAAAACACUGGAACUUUGAAGCUAUACCAAGCCUCCCUGCCAACAUUGCCAUCUUUUCCAUACAGUGGCUACCAGGAACGCCACAGAGAAGAUGAGCAACUAGUCCCUCUAAUUUCGAGCCAGGUGCCCCACUCUACCUUGUUCCUCCCAGUGGACAUGGCAGGUGCCACCUUGUUAUUUUUACCUUCUUACCUGCUCCACUUAGUUUUGAUGAAUGAUGCAGUCUUGAGAAAUGACAUUCAGAGUGUCAAGGGGUUUGAUGAUCAGGAAAAACAAAAAACAAAAGCAUAAAGACAUUGAGAUUUCUUCACUACUCUUGACUGCAGCAACAACUUGGAUUGCAGGAAUAAAAUGGCCUGUGACAUAAAUUCAG
rnacentral:lncRNA from 1 species